GAUGAAGAACGCAGCGAAAUGCGAUAAGUAAUGUGAAUUGCAGAAUUCAGUGAAUCAUCGAAUCCUUGAACGCACAUUGCGCCCGCCAGUAUUCUGGCGGGCAUGCCUGUUCGAGCGUCAUUACAACCCUCAGGCCCCCGGGCCUGGCGUUGGGGAUCGGCGGAGCCCCCCGUGGGCACACGCCGUCCCCCAAAUACAGUGGCGGUCCCGCCGCAGCUUCCAUCGCGUAGUAGCUAACACCUCGCGACUGGAGAGCGGCGCGGCCACGCCGUAAAACACCCAACUCUUCUGAAGUUGACCUCGAAUCAGGUAGGAAUACCCGCUGAACUUAAGCAUAUCAAUAAGCGGAGGA
rnacentral:misc_RNA from 1 species